UACAGAGGGUGCGAGCGUUAAUCGGAAUUACUGGGCGUAAAGAGUGCGUAGGCGGUUCUUGAAGUCCGCUGUGAAAGCCCCGGGCUUAACCUGGGAAUGGCAGUGGAAACUGGGGGACUUGAAUUGAGCAGAGGGGGGUGGAAUGCCGCGUGUAGCAGUGAAAUGCGUAGAGAUGCGGCGGAACACCGAUGGCGAAGGCAGCCCCCUGGGCUUAAAUUGACGCUGAGGCACGAAAGCGUGGGGAGCAAACAGG
rnacentral:rRNA from 1 species